AACGAGGCCGACCUGCGGCUGAGUUACCUGCGGAGGGAUCAUUACCGAGUGUGACCCCCUUUUUAUAAAAAGGGGUACCUCCCGUCCUUUGCAGGGCCCUUUGGGGCUUUUUGAACUUUGCUUCGGCGGGUUUUACCCCGCCGGAACACCCUCAAGAAAAUCUUUUUAUAAAAACUGUUGUCUGAGUCACUUGCGAAUUUUAAAACAAAAACUUUUAACAAUGGAUCUCAGAUCGGAAGA
rnacentral:misc_RNA from 1 species